ensembl:snoRNA
CUGCAUGUGGCAGUGUCUACUCUUCAUACUUUCAGGAGCAGGAAUAUACUCAAAACAUGCUGCCUUAAAAAAGUUCUCAGGGCUGCGUCUUACAGUAGAGCUUGAGCACUAAUAUAUUUCUCCUACAUAA